rnacentral:rRNA from 1 species
GACGAACGCUGGCGGCGUGCUUAACACAUGCAAGUCGAACGGAAAGGCCCCUUUGGGGGUACUCGAGUGGCGAACGGGUGAGUAACACGUGAGUAACCUGCCCUUGACUUCGGGAUAACUUCAGGAAACUGGGGCUAAUACCGGAUAGGAAUCCUUGCUGCAUGGUGGGGGUUGGAAAGCUUCGGCGGUUUUGGAUGGACUCGCGGCUUAUCAGCUUGUUGGUGGGGUGGUGGCUUACCAAGGCUUUGACGGGUAGCCGGCCUGGGAGGGCGACCGGCCACAUUGGGACUGAGAUACGGCCCAGACUCCUACGGGAGGCAGCAGUGGGGAAUAUUGCACAAUGGGCGGAAGCCUGAUGCAGCAACGCCGCGUGCGGGAUGACGGCCUUCGGGUUGUAAACCGCUUUCAGCAGGGGCGAAGCUUGUGGUGACGGUACCUGCAGAAGAAGCACCGGCUAACUACGUG